AGUGAAAGCAGUAACGGUGGAGAGGCAGGACAGCUCAAGGUAGAAAUCCCAAAAUCCGGAGGUUUUUAAGACCACGAGCUAAAGAUGUCUUUGGGUAGGUUUGAAGACAGCCUUUCCAGCUCCCUUAGCUCUGGCUACAUCCAAUUACCUGUGAUCUCCAUAAAGCACUGAGACAGCCGCUCAGCUGGUAACGCACUGAAGACUUGAGUUGCCCGUGCAAAGGUACGAGAGAACUACAAUGGUCCACAAGCCUAGAAACACACAAUAAAACGAACAUUUAAAGAAUCUCAUCCCACACUCUGCACUUCCAUUAGGAAGUGUGCUUAACUGCUUCUUGUUCACCUGCUGACCUGUAUUUUGUGAUUUCUCUUAUAAGUUUUUAGCUUGUUCCACUUCCAACGAAAGUCCAAGCAAGAGGCCCCGCGGUUAAGAGCAUGUACCACCCUUCACAACUGCUCAGAGACAGGAGAUUUCAGAAUUUGAAGCCAGACUUAAGACUCCAUGCCUCUGGCUUCCUUGGGCACCUACACACACACACACACACA
rnacentral:lncRNA from 1 species